UUUGUAUUUGGGAGGAGUGCCAAGCAUUUUGUAAUUGGUAUGUAUGUAUGUGUGUGUGUGUAUGUAUGUAUAUAUACACAUACAUACCUAAUUACAAAAUGCUUGCACUCCUCCCAAAUACAAA